UUUCCGGUUGAUCCUGCCGGACCUGACUGCUAUCGGAUUGAUACUAAGCCAUGCGAGUCUUUGUAGUAAUACAAGGCAUACGGCUCAGUAACGCGUAGUCAACCUACCCUAUGGACAAGAAUAAUCUCGGGAAACUGAGCAUAAUUCUUGAUAGAUCAUAAUGCCUGGAAUGGUUUAUGGUUAAAAUGAUUCGUCGCCAUAGGAUGGGACUGCGGCCUAUCAGCUUGUUGGUGAGGUAAUGGCCCACCAAGGCGAUAACAGGUACGGGCUCUGAGAGGAGAAGCCCGGAGAUGGGUACUGAGACAAGGACCCAGGCCCUAUGGGGCGCAGCAGGCGAGAAAACUUUGCAAUGUGCGAAAGCACGACAAGGUUAGUCCGAGUGAUUUCUGCUAAAGAGAUCUUUUGCUAGUCAUAAAACCACUAGUGAAUAAGGGGUGGGCAAGUUCUGGUGUCAGCCGCCGCGGUAAAACCAGCACCUCAAGUGGUCAGGAUAAUUAUUGGGCCUAAAGCAUCCGUAGCCGGCUCUGUAAGUUUUCGGUUAAAUCUAUGCGCUCAACGUAUGGGCUGCCGAAAAUACUGCAGAGAUAGGGAGUGGGAGAGGUAGACGGUACUCGGUAGGAAGGGGUAAAAUCCUUUGAUCUAUCGAUGACCACCUGUGGCGAAGGCGGUCUACCAGAACACGUUCGACGGUGAGGGAUGAAAGCUGGGGGAGCAAACCGGAUUAGAUACCCGGGUAGUCCCAGCUGUAAACGAUGCAGACUCGAUGAUGCAUUGGCAUAUAGCCAGUGCAGUGUCGCAGGGAAGCCGUUAAGUCUGCCGCCUGAGAAGUACGUACGCAAGUAUGAAACUUAAAGGAAUUGGCGGGGGAGCACCACAAGGGGUGAAGCCUGCGGUUCAAUUGGAGUCAACGCCGGGA
rnacentral:rRNA from 1 species